rnacentral:rRNA from 1 species
UACGAAGGGUGCAAGCGUUACUCGGAAUUACUGGGCGUAAAGCGUGCGUAGGCGGUUUGUUAAGUCCGCCGUGAAAGCCCUGGGCUCAACCUGGGAAUUGCAGUGGAUACUGGCAAGCUAGAGUGCGGUAGAGGAUGGUGGAAUUCCCGGUGUAGCGGUGAAAUGCGUAGAGAUCGGGAGGAACACCCGUGGCGAAGGCGGCCAUCUGGACCAGCACUGACGCUGAGGCACGAAAGCGUGGGGAGCAAACAGG